rnacentral:rRNA from 1 species
UACGGAGGGUGCAAGCAUUGAUCGGAAUUACUGGGCGUAAAGGGCGCGUAGGCGGUUAGGAAAGUCAGAUGUGAAAUUCCGGGGCUCAACCCCGGAGCUGCAUUUGAAACUUCCCAACUUGAGUACAGUUAGGGUAAACGGAAUUCCACGUGUAGCGGUGAAAUGCGUAGAUAUGUGGAAGAACACCGGUGGUGAAGACGGUUUACUGGGCUGUAACUGACGCUGAGGCGCGAAAGCAAGGGAAGCAAACAGG